ensembl:lncRNA
AAAAAACCAAAACCUUUAAUGUAAUUUUUUGCCUUCCAAUGUAGCUUUGAUGCACUAAAACUUUUAUUCCUGAGUGAACAGUGCCCAACAGCAUCUUCUAGAGCUGUAAGCUUUUAAAAAAAGUUCCAAAAUUGCCUUUCUGCGCUUAAAAAAACCAAAAAAGCCAUUUGCUGAAUUUUUUGCACUAUGUUUGAACUUUCAUUUCUCUCUUUAUUUUUGGGUUUAUACAUUUACAAAUAUCCAGAAGCGUGCCGAACUAAACAUGGAUAGAUAUAUAGACAUCAACUUAAGUCGCCAAAUAAUUUCGUGAUCAGACACACAAACACAUUCCUGCACCACAGGUGUGUGUGCGCAUUCCCCCUGUCCUGGGAGGGCCUUUCCCCUUUAGCUACACAUGUGAUCCCGUGUUUCCAUAAAUUAGGAGGAGAGGAUGAAGGGAUGGAGGAAGACAGGUGGGGUCAAAAGGGGUAUCUUCUUACAAAACCAGAGGCAGUUGAAAAAAACCCCUCUGUUGUUGUGCACCGGUCCUUUUGUUCUAAAUAAUCAGUGAGUGCUUUGAAACCUUUUAUGGCUCCCAGUCUAAUUUACUGUCAGUGCCAGGGGGUCGUAGCUCCGCCAGCUCUGCCUGCACACAUCGCCUUGGCACGAGGUGUGCUAAAGAUAUCUACAAGAAGUAUCAGGUAUCCAGUAUUUACCAGGAAACUCUUUCACAAGAAUGAAGAUGAUUAGGAUUCAUGACUUUGAAAGUUGGCGGCUCAUGUGAUAAAUAAGUAAGCUUUAAUGUCAAAGUGAGAAGUGAUCCAAAGAAGCUAGCAUUUGCAGCUCAGGUAAAGAAAAAAAAGUAUGCAAGCUGUUUUGUAUGCCCUCUGCCUUAUUCCUAGUUUUUUUCUAAAUGACAGCGUCUCAUUCCCAUCUCCCUUUGGCCUGGAUGUGCCUGAAAACCUUACUGUAUUAUAGGCAAACAUCAUGCAGCUAGAGAAACCACCUACGUACUGAGAUUUGUGUGGUUCCUUCAAACACAAAAAACCAAAGAUCUUCACAACUGCCUGUAAUACUGUUUGGAUGUUUUCGAUGGAGAAAAUGUGUGGCAAAAAAUAUUGUUUUUGUUUUUCUUCUGCAAACAAGCCCAAGUGUGCGAGUAAAUCGUAUUUUUAUUGUGUGUUAAUUAAAGAGCACAAUGUUACUUUUUUUUAAACAAUCCCUUUCCAGCAAAAUGUUCCUUCAUCUUGCUCUCUCCAUCUCUUUGAUGCUCAAAGCAUGUACAUCUGAAACUGGUAUGUUAAUUUAAAAAAAAUUUCACCAUGUAUGUAAUGAUAUCGAUAAUGCUUCUAUACUGAGUGCUUGUAAAGUUUGCGAUA